rnacentral:rRNA from 1 species
UACGUAGGAGGCGAGCGUUGUCCGGAUUCAUUGGGCGUAAAGAGCACGCAGGCGGUUUGGCAAGUCGGACGUGAAAAUCCGGGGCUCAACCCCGGACCUGCAUCCGAAACUGCCCGACUAGAGGUAGGUAGGGGAGAUCGGAAUUCCUGGUGUAGCGGUGAAAUGCGCAGAUAUCAGGAGGAACACCGGUGGCGAAGGCGGGUCUCUGGGCCGAUAUUGACGCUGAGGAGCGAAAGCGUGGGGAGCGAACAGG